rnacentral:lncRNA from 1 species
CCCUCUUUAUCUAUAGAACCUUCGAGUUUUUCUUCUCUGAUGGCCUUCACCAUCUCUCUGGCCACCUCCAGCCUCGCCUUUUUCAACCACCAACCGUUUUGGAGCCUUAUCUCACCGGUUCCCUCCAUCCCUGAGACUUCAUGAUUCUUCAGCAUGCAUGAUGGUCACUAAAGCUUUGCCUGGGUUUGUUUUCGGCCUUUCUCCGAUGGGUUUUGGUCCAAUGGUCCAAUAAACACUAUUUUUCCUAAAGUUUCACAGCCAGGUUUCUCUUACUUCUCUCACUGGUUUCUUAUGAAACCUAAUCUCAAUCCAAACCUCUUAAAUCUUUGUAUUUUUGAUGAUUUUUAAUUAACACCUUAAUGUUUUGCACUACUCUCUACUCGAUCGUUACGAUUGCUCAAGUAUUAAACGUUUUGUUCCCUUUUUGAAACUAGGAUUUCUGAACCCCUUUUUGAAAUCACUUUACUUUCUGAUUUUGAGUACUAAUUCGUGGUUCUCACUACUAUUUCUAAACAUUUUGCUUAUGUCUGAUGAAACCCUA